UGGGAAUAUGCCUUAGGGUGGGGGACAACAGUUGGAAACGACUGCUAAUGCCGCAUAACGUCUACGGACCAAAGGGGGCUUCGGCUCUCGCCCUUAGAUUAGCCCAAGUGGGAUUAGCUAGUUGGUGAGGUAAUGGCUCACCAAGGCGACGAUCCCUAGCUGGUUUGAGAGGAUGAUCAGCCACACUGGAACUGAGACACGGUCCAGACUCCUACGGGAGGCAGCAGUGGGGAAUAUUGCACAAUGGGCGCAAGCCUGAUGCAGCCAUGCCGCGUGUGUGAAGAAGGCCUUAGGGUUGUAAAGCACUUUCAGUAAGGAGGAAAGGUUAGUAGUUAAUACCUGCUAGCUGUGACGUUACUUACAGAAGAAUCACCGGCUAACUCCGUGCCAGCAGCCGCGGUAAUACGGAGGGUGCGAGCGUUAAUCGGAAUUACUGGGCGUAAAGCGUACGCAGGCGGGUUUGUUAAGCGAGAUGUGAAAGCCCCGGGCUCAA
rnacentral:rRNA from 1 species